rnacentral:tRNA from 1 species
GCUCCCGUAGCUCAGUUGGAUAGAGCGGCAGCCUUCUAAGCUGUAGGUCACUGGUUCGAAUCCAGUCGGGGGCA